rnacentral:rRNA from 1 species
GUGGGGAAUAUUGGACAAUGGGGGGAACCCUGAUCCAGCCAUGCCGCGUGUGUGAAGAAGGCCUUUUGGUUGUAAAGCACUUUAAUCGAGGAGGAGGCUACCGAGAUUAAUACUCUUGGAUAGUGGACGUUACUCGCAGAAUAAGCACCGGCUAACUCUGUGCCAGCAGCCGCGGUAAUACAGAGGGUGCAAGCGUUAAUCGGAUUUACUGGGCGUAACGCGCGCGUAGGUGGCCAAUUAAGUCAAAUGUGAAAUCCCCGAGCUUAACUUGGGAAUUGCAUUCGAUACUGGUUGGCUAGAGUAUGGGAGAGGAUGGUAGAAUUCCAGGUGUAGCGGUGAAAUGCGUAGAGAUCUGGAGGAAUACCGAUGGCGAAGGCAGCCAUCUGGCCUAAUACUGACACUGAGGUGCGAAAGCAUGGGGAGCAAACAGGAUUAGAUACCCCAGUAGUCC